rnacentral:rRNA from 1 species
UACGUAGGGUGCGAGCGUUACUCGGAAUUACUGGGCGUAAAGCGCGCGCAGGCGGCCAUGUAAGUCGAGUGUGAAAGCCCCGGGCUUAACUUGGGAAUUGCGCUCGAAACUACGUGGCUGGAGUGUGGCAGAGGAAGGUGGAAUUCCACGUGUAGCGGUGAAAUGCGUAGAGAUGUGGAGGAACACCAAUGGCGAAGGCAGCCUUCUGGGCCAACACUGACGCUCAGGCACGAAAGCGUGGGGAGCAAACAGG